rnacentral:rRNA from 1 species
AUCAAGCAAGACUACUCCCUGAAUUUAAGCAUAUUAUUAAGGGAAGGAAAAGAAAAUAACUAUGAUACCCGCAGUAAUGGCGAAUGAAGUGGGUAAAGCUCAAGCUUAAAAUCUAGUCUCUUUUGAGAUUCGAAUUGUAGUGUAAAUUAACAUUAAUAUGGUCAUGAUAAUUGCCUAAGUGUGAACAUCUGAAUUUCCUAUCAAAGACGGUGAUAAUCCGGUAUGGUAGUUUGAUUGGCUAAAUAUUCUUGUUAUUUAAAGAGUCGAGUUGUUUGGGAUUGCAACUCUAAUAAAGGUGAUAGAUUUCAUCUAAAGCUAAAUAUAUUAGGAAAACCGAUAGCAAAGAAGUACUGUGAAGGAAAGGUGAAAAGAACUUUGAAAAGAGAGUUAAAAGUGCUUGAAAUUGUUAAAA